rnacentral:rRNA from 1 species
UACAGAGGUCUCAAGCGUUUGUUCGGAUUCAUUGGGCGUAAAGGGUGUGUAGGUGGCGCGCUAAGUCGGGUGUGAAAUUUCGGAGCUUAACUCCGAAACUGCAUUCGAUACUGCGGUGCUUGAGGACUGGAGAGGAGACUGGAAUUCAUGGUGUAGCAGUGAAAUGCGUAGAGAUCAUGAGGAAGACCAGUGGCGAAGGCGGGUCUCUGGACAGUUCCUGACACUGAGACACGAAGGCCAGGGGAGCAAAACAGGG